rnacentral:rRNA from 1 species
UACGUAGGGGGCUAGCGUUGUCCGGAAUCAUUGGGCGUAAAGCGCGCGUAGGCGGCCAGAUAAGUCCGGUGUGAAAGUCACAGGCUCAACCUGUGAAUGCCGCUGGAAACUGUCUGGCUAGAGUCCGGAAGGGGCGAGUGGAAUUCCUGGUGUAGCGGUGAAAUGCGCAGAUAUCAGGAGGAACACCGGUGGCGAAGGCGGUUCUCUGGGCAUGUCCUGACGCUGAGGAGCGAAAGUGUGGGGAGCGAACAGG